rnacentral:tRNA from 1 species
GGAGACGCGGCAGAGCGGCCGAAUGCACCGGUCUUGAAAACCGGCGAGGUUUAUUCCUCCGCGGGUUCAAAUCCCGCCGUCUCCGCCA